rnacentral:rRNA from 1 species
GACGAACGCUGGCGGCGUGCUUAACACAUGCAAGUCGAACGAAGAGCGAUGGAAGCUUGCUUCUAUCAAUCUUAGUGGCGAACGGGUGAGUAACGCGUAAUCAACCUGCCCUUCAGAGGGGGACAACAGUUGGAAACGACUGCUAAUACCGCAUACGAUCUAAUCUCGGCAUCGAGGAUAGAUGAAAGGUGGCCUCUACAUGUAAGCUAUCACUGAAGGAGGGGAUUGCGUCUGAUUAGCUAGUUGGAGGGGUAACGGCCCACCAAGGCGAUGAUCAGUAGCCGGUCUGAGAGGAUGAACGGCCACAUUGGGACUGAGACACGGCCCAGACUCCUACGGGAGGCAGCAGUGGGGAAUCCUCCGCAAUGGACGAAAGUCUGACGGAGCAACGCCGCGUGAGUGAUGACGGCCUUCGGGUUGUAAGCUCUGUUAAUCGGGACGAAAGGCCUUCUUGCGAACAGUUAGAAGGAUUGACGGUACCGGAAUAGAAAGCCACGGCUAACUACGUG